rnacentral:rRNA from 1 species
AUUGAACGCUGGCGGCAGGCCUAACACAUGCAAGUCGAGCGGCAGCGGGAAAGUAGCUUGCUACUUUUGCCGGCGAGCGGCGGACGGGUGAGUAAUGCCUGGGGAUCUGCCCAGUCGAGGGGGAUAACAGUUGGAAACGACUGCUAAUACCGCAUACGCCCUACGGGGGAAAGGAGGGGACCUUCGGGCCUUUCGCGAUUGGAUGAACCCAGGUGGGAUUAGCUAGUUGGUGGGGUAAUGGCUCACCAAGGCGACGAUCCCUAGCUGGUCUGAGAGGAUGAUCAGCCACACUGGAACUGAGACACGGUCCAGACUCCUACGGGAGGCAGCAGUGGGGAAUAUUGCACAAUGGGGGAAACCCUGAUGCAGCCAUGCCGCGUGUGUGAAGAAGGCCUUCGGGUUGUAAAGCACUUUCAGCGAGGAGGAAAGGUUGUUGGCGAAUACCCAGCAACUGUGACGUUACUCGCAGAAGAAGCACCGGCUAACUCCGUGCCAGCCGCCGCAGUAACAC